AACUUUCAGCAACAGAUCUCUUGGCUCUCAUAUCAAUGAAGAAUGCAGUGAAAUGUGAUAAGUAAUGUGAAUUGCAGAAUUCAGUGAAUCUUUGAAUCUUUGAAUGCACCUUGUGCUCCUUGGUAUUCUGAGGAGCAUGCCUGUUUGAGAGUCA
rnacentral:rRNA from 1 species